rnacentral:rRNA from 1 species
UUAAACUGAAGAGUUUGAUCAUGGCUCAGAUUGAACGCUGGCGGCAAGCCUCAUACAUGCAAGUCGAGCGAGAACGUUACUUCGGUAGCUAGUAAAGCGGCGGACGGGUGAGUAACGCGUAGGAAUCUACCUUUCAGCGGGGGAUAGCUCGGGGAAACCCGAAUUAAUACCGCAUACACCCUAAGGGGGAAAGAGGGCCUAUCCUUGGAAGCUCUCGCUGUUAGAUGAGCCUGCGUGAGAUUAGUUUGUUGGUGGGGUAAUGGCCUACCAAGACUACGAUCUCUAGCUGGUCUGAGAGGACGAUCAGCCACACUGGGACUGAGACACGGCCCAGACUCCUACGGGAGGCAGCAGUAGAGAAUAUUGGACAAUGGGGGCAACCCUGAUCCAGGCAUGCCGCGUGUGUGAAGAAGGCCUUAGGGUUGUAAAGCACUUUAGGUAAGGAAGAAAAGUUAAUAGUUAAUACCUGUUGACCGUGACAUUACUUACAGAAUAAGGACCGGCUAACUCCGUGCCAGCAGCCGCGGUAAUACGGAGGGUCCAAGCGUUAAUCGGAAUUACUGGGCGUAAAGCGCGCGUAGGCGGUUUGUCAAGUUGGAUGUGAAAUCCCUGGGCUCAACCUAGGAACUGCAUUCAAAACUUAUAGACUAGAGUACGAUAGAGGAGAGUAGAAUUCCUGGUGUAGCGGUGAAAUGCGUAGAUAUCAGGAGGAAUACCAAUGGCGAAGGCAACUCUCUGGAUCGACACUGACGCUGAGGUGCGAAAGCGUGGGUAGCAAACAGGAUUAGAUACCCUGGUAGUCCACGCCGUAAACGAUGAGAACUAGCCGUUGGAUCUUAGAUUC